rnacentral:rRNA from 1 species
GAUGAACGCUGGCGGCGUGCCUAAUACAUGCAAGUCGAGCGAACAGACGAUGAGCUUGCUCCUCUGACGUUUGCGGCGGACGUGUGUGUAACACGUGGAUAACCUACCUAUUUUUCUUGGAUAACUUCGUGAAACCGGAUCUAAUACCGGAUCAUAUAUUGUACCGCAUGGUUCAAUAGUGCAUGACGGUUUUUCUGUCUCUUAUAGCUGGUUCCGGGCCGCAUUAGCUAGUUGGUAAGGUAACGUCUUACCAAGGCAACGAUGCGUAGCCGAACUGAGAGGGGGAUCGGACAAAAUGGAACUGAGAAACGGUACAGACUACUACGGGAGGCAGCAGUAGGGAAUAUGGAGCAAAGGGCGAAAGCAUGACGGAGCAAGGCCGCGGGAGUGAAGAAGGACUUCGGAUCGUAAAACUCUGUUAUUAGGGAAGAAAAAAAGUGUAAGAAAAUAUGGACGUAGUGACGGUAACGAAUAAGAAAGCAACGGCUAACUACGUG